rnacentral:rRNA from 1 species
AACGAACGCUGGCGGCAUGCCUAACACAUGCAAGUCGAACGAGACCUUCGGGUCUAGUGGCGCACGGGUGCGUAACGCGUGGGAACCUGCCCUUAGGUUCGGAAUAACUCCCCGAAAGGGGUGCUAAUACCGGAUAAUGUCUUCGGACCAAAGAUUUAUCGCCUUUGGAUGGGCCCGCGUUGGAUUAGCUAGUUGGUAGGGUAAAAGCCUACCAAGGCGACGAUCCAUAGCUGGUCUGAGAGGAUGAUCAGCCACACUGGGACUGAGACACGGCCCAGACCCCUACGGGGGGGCGGAGGGGGGAAUGUUGGAAAAGGGGCGAAAGCCUGAUCCAGAAAGGCCGGGGGGGUGAUGAAGGCCUUAGGGUUGAAAAGCUCUUUUACCCGGGAUGAUAAUGAAAGUACCGGGAAAAAAAGCCCCGGCUAACUCCGU